CCUACGGGAGGCAGCAGUGGGGAAUAUUGGACAAUGGGGGGAACCCUGAUCCAGCCAUGCCACGUGUGUGAAGAAGGCCCUCGGGUUGUAAAGCACUUUCAGUGAGGAAGAACGCCUGGUGGUUAAUACCCAUCAGGAAAGACAUCACUCACAGAAGAAGCACCGGCUAACUCCGUGCCAGCAGCCGCGGUAAUACGGAGGGUGCGAGCGUUAAUCGGAAUUACUGGGCGUAAAGCGCGCGUAGGUGGCUUGAUAAGCCGGUUGUGAAAGCCCCGGGCUCAACCUGGGAACGGCAUCCGGAACUGUCAAGCUAGAGUGCAGGAGAGGAAGGUAGAAUUCCCGGUGUAGCGGUGAAAUGCGUAGAGAUCGGGAGGAAUACCAGUGGCGAAGGCGGCCUUCUGGACUGACACUGACACUGAGGUGCGAAAGCGUGGGUAGCAAACAGGAUUAGAUACCCCAGUAGUC
rnacentral:rRNA from 1 species